CCGUAGCUCAGUGGAUAGAGCAACCGCCUCCUAAGCGGUAGGUCGGAGGUUCGAAUCCUCCCGG
rnacentral:tRNA from 1 species